GCACUUCUACUCCAGUUUAUUGUACUGAACUUCAGCCAAGCAAGGCCCCUAAACCAGGCCAGAUACAGAGGCCAACACCAAGGCCGUCUCUGCCAUGGCGGGUAUAAAAUCGAAACAGUAAAAAUUCAUUCAAGCCUGGGGUGGUGGCACACACCUGUAAUCUCAGAGCUCUGGAGGCAGAGGCAGGAGGAUCGCCUUGAGUUCAAGGCCAGCCUGGGCUACAUAGCGAGACGCUGUCUCAGAAAACAAAAAACAAACAAAAAAACAGGGCAAAAAGAUAAGAUAUUAGAUUUAAGAGGGGCUUUAAUGCAGGGCAGACAGGGAAGGGGUUUGGAGUGGAGACUUCAGGAAGGAAGACAGGCAGUCAGUGAGGUUUGUGACACACCCAAAGUUCCAAAUGGUGAUGAAAGAACAAUGGAUUUUGUGCAAGAAGUGGCUUCGUCCAAUUGUCCAAUUUUCAUCUUGUUUGUUGGUUUGUUUGUUUGAGACAGGGUCUCUCCAGGUAUCUCAGGCUGUCCUCGAACUCAUGGCGAUCCUCCUGCCUCAGCCUCUGGAAUGCUGGGAUUACAGGUGUGCCCCUCCACACCCAGCGCAAUUUUGAUCUUUAACAGACUGUUCUGGUCACUGACAAGGGCCUGAGCCAGGAGUCGAGCAGGCAGGGUGUGGUGAGGUGGAGAGAAUCGGUGGAUGGUGACUUGCUGGGAGACAGGGCCGACAGGACUGGCUGAGGGCUGAGCCAUGGACCCUGGGGGACAGCAGAGUUGGGGACACCUGACAGAGGAACUGGAGGGGAUUCAGCGGAGGACGCCAAGCGCUGGGGUCGGGACUCUCUUCGCUUCAUCUCACGACAGCGCAGGGCAGACCCGGGUGGAACACCGGACGAGGGACUGUAUCCUGGGGACAGAGCCACGGGAGAGGCCGAAGAGAAGACCCGAGGAACUCCAGGCUGCGGCUGGAGCUGGCAGGGAUGGGGACCUUGAGAAGCAGAGGGGAGAACCAGCCUCUGCAGAAACAGAUCCUGCAGCAGGCCCAGCGACGGGGCAGAGGAAGGCUGCUGUUGGAAGUUAUGAAAGUGGAGUCUGUCUGGUCUUUCUUGGGCGGAAGAGAAAUCAGCAAGGCUGCAGGGGCAGGAACAAACGUGAAGCCAAGUUUUGCUUCCCCUUGAUCCUAGGCCUCAGUCUGAAUUACUGAGUUUGCCACAGAAGUACCAUAGGAAUCAUUUAUUAUUACAGGCAUUAUUAAGUUUUAUUUAUAUGACUAUCUGAAGAAAUAAUCCUACAUGUCUCUCCUGUCUUCAGACAUUGUUGUAUAUUCUUAUUUAAGCUCACCUGAAAUUAGUUAUGAAACCAGGACUCCAUCUGUUACACCACACAUAGCGUGUUCAGGCCACAUUCUUUUGUUUUGUUUUUGUUUUUAGAGACAGGGUCUGUGUAGUUUAG
rnacentral:lncRNA from 1 species